GAAGCCCAUUACUUUUCCCAUGGAACAAAACCUCAUGCUUUUUAAUUCUAGUGAUCCUUUUAAAAGACCCAUCUGUUUAUAGAAGGUUAGUGGGUUGGUUAAUUUAUCUCACUAUUACAAGGCCUGAAAUUACUUAUGAUAUUCAUGUGUUAAGUCCAUUCAUGCAUAAGCCUUGUAAACACCAUAUAGAUGUUAUACAUAGGGUGCUUUGUUGCCUCAAACAUCCUCCAAGACAAGGUUUGUUUUUCCCUUCAAAAAUUAACUUAAAAUUACAAGCAUAUUAUGACUCAAACUAGGGAAGAUGCCCAACCAUUAGAAGAUCAACCAUGGGGUUUGUGUGUUCUUAGGAAAAUCGUUAACUUCCUAGAGAACCAAGCAGUAAAAGACAGUCUCAUUAUCUUCAGCAAAAGCUAAAUAUUGCUGACAACAACUUGCUGUGAGAUAACUUGGUUAAAAAUUUUGUUGCAAGACUUAUAA
rnacentral:misc_RNA from 1 species